UACAGAGGGUGCGAGCGGUAAUCGGAAUUACUGGGCGUAAAGCGCGCGUAGGCGGCUUUGCAAGUCGGGUGUGAAAUCCCCAAGCUUAACUUGGGAACUGCAUUCGAGACUGCAUUGCUAGAGUAUGGGAGAGGGAAGUGGAAUUUCCGGUGUAGCGGUGAAAUGCGUAGAUAUCGGAAGGAACAUCAGUGGCGAAAGCGACUUCCUGGACCAAUACUGACGCUCAUGUGCGAAAGCGUGGGGAGCAAACAGG
rnacentral:rRNA from 1 species